rnacentral:lncRNA from 1 species
AUGCAGAAACUAACAAGAUCAGCUAAAUACCAAGUAAAUCAGUUAGAACAGGGAUCAAUAUAUGAGUGAAUCGACUCCGAUCUUUACCUAAAUGAUUAAACGAUUAUGAGCUAAUAAUCCACCAAACUCAUCAUGUCACAAUGCCAGCUAACACCAAUCACGUAAUAAACUUCUUCAAGUAAAUAUUUUCAAGUAGAGAUCAUAUUCACAGAAUAACAGACCAUGAACACGGUAUUCGACCUAAUACAUACUAGUAUCAUUAUAAUGGAUUCAACAAAAUUCAAUUUAGCAAUCUAGAACACAAUAAUUAAAUUAUUCAGUGCUCGGUUAGAAAAUAGCGUCAGCCAAGCAUGAAAUUGAAAUAUUUGAAACAAAGAAAAUCAUAUCUAAGCCACCCACGCAUUUAACAUCCACAAACAAAAUAAAGUAAAUCCAAGAACAAUCUUACCGGAGACAAAUUCAUCAUGCAAAAAGUGUUGGAAUUGAAUCCUUGACACUCUCGCUGGUUCGGUCAGAGCAGGCGACGGCGCUGGUGAGGUUGUCGAUGGUGGCUAUGAUGGAGAGGACGAACGGAGGAAGAUGGCGGCAAUUCAAGUGGCGACUGGCUUUACUGUUUAGCCGGUGGAGCCGACUGGUCUGCUGGCGGUUGAUUCACCGCAGCUGGCAGCAACUGGUUCCAUUGGAGUUUUGGUGGUGGGCGUUGGUUUGGCUGAGAAUGAUGGUUCGCCGGUCGGUAGUGGUUUCUUGAAUGAUGCUUCACCGAUCAUUACAUUUGGUAAAGCGACAACGACAAAAGGCAACACCAAUUUCACGGUUGGACUGACCAUUUUGGUAGAGCGGCAGCAUCGAUGGAGAGAAGAAAGUGGGACGACAGUGGCUGAUUUAUCAAAGGCGAAAGAGGGAAACCGACGAAUGAAGGGAUGAUUCGCCGUAAUGGACGCCAGAGAAUAUGGUGGUGGUGGCGGUUCGAGUGUUUUUUUUUAGAGAGAAUAUGGAGAGAGAGAGACAGGAAGUUAGGCGGGUUAUUUUUUAUGAGAAUGAAUUAGGAUUAGGUGUUUUGAACUAAGAAGGAAAAAGGAGAAGGGUUUGAUCUCAGCCGUUGGAUCAAUUAGGAUUAACGGUUGAGAUUAAAACCCUUUAAAAAGAGGUCAUGCAAAAAUUAAUUUGAAAUUAAAAUGUCAUUAAUUAGGCUAAAAUUGGUAUUAAUUGAAUACCAAUUGGCUAGAAUUGUAAUAAAUUGAGUAAAAUUGGAUAGAAAAUGGCAAAAAGAUAAAUGAAUUAUGCAAGGUGAUUUCAAAUUAGGUUGUUAUUUAAAUAAUAGUAGGGAUAAUAAUAAUAAUAAAAAAUAAAAAAUAAUGACAAUAUAUAUUAAUAAUAGAUAAUAAUAAUAAUAAUAAUAAUAAUAAUAAUAAUGCAACACUAGACAAUGUAUUUGCAAAAUGUGAGUGCACAAUUACGUGAAAAAAUAAUUUAAUAAAUAUUAAUAAAAUUGCAUAAAAUGUCAUAUUUGAAUUUAAAAAAUAUAAAAAAUGAUACUAAAGGAUAACAAAAUAAUUUAUGCAUUUUUUUAAAUUAUGAAUGUGACAUGUCAGUAUGUAUUUAAUGUAAGAAUAAUGUGUAAAAAUAUUAAAAGUAAUAUCGGGGGGUCAAAAUUGGGUGUCAACAGCUGCUCCUUCGUUGCUUGAGAAUAAUAAAAGAAUUGUCAAGCAACAAAAGUUGACGUAUUAGCCAAUUUUGUCCGACGGAUGAAGACGCAUUUGUGUUAAAGUGACAGGAGGUGGUUUUAAAAAUAGUGUGGCCGAGACUUCAGUUUUCAGUCGUCUACAUAUCUCUGGUCUUACGAGAAUCAGGUCGUUUGUAGUCCUAGAUUUAGGAAUGAACAAUAUUCCUAAAGAAUGUCAUUGAUAAAGAAUGGGGCAUCAAAAAUGAUAUUGAGGGUCGACAAGAUAGGGUGAAUAUGAUAAAAUGACGUGAGAGAGGGUGUGAAAAUGAAAGGUGUGUGAGUUAUGAGUUCAAGCUUAUGCGGUGGAUGGGUAAGUAGGUGAUACUUCGAAAACAGGAACAAAAAUUAUCUCUAUUUGUUAGUCUUUCUCUAUUACUUGCGUCUUUACGUGAUACUAAAUAACAAAGGUUAGACAUGUAAUAAAUAAACAAUUAGUAAACAUAAAGUGAAUGUGGAAACAGAGAAAGCAUAUCUAUUGUAUCGUGGAAUCGCGGGAUCAGCUUUUUGGCUUCACAUCGUGGGAUCAGCUUUUGGGCAUCUCGAUGCAUUGUGAAAUCGUGUGAUCAAUUGUUUGGAUUCUCAUCGUGGGAUCAGCUACUGCGCUUCUCGAUGCACUGUGGAAUCGUGUGAUUAGUUGUUUGGCUUCUCAUCGUGGGAUCAGUUUUUGAGCUUCUCGAUGCAUUGUGAUAUCGUGUGAUCAGCUGUUUGGCUUCUCGUUGUAGGAUCAUUUUUUGGGCUUCUCGAUGCAUUGUGAAAUCGUGUGAUUAGUUGUUUGGCUACUUAUCGUGCAAUCAGAUUUUGGGCUUCUCGAUGCAUUGUGAAAUUGUGUGAUCAGCUGUUUGACUAUUCAUUGUGGGAUCGGCUGUUUGGCUUUUCGUGAUGGAGUAAUUUGUACCUGUUGGUCCUGCCACUUUUAACUCAACUAGAUAAAAAUGGUUAGCACAGAUAUAUGUAUAUGUAAAGAAGAUUGAACAAUGUAGUGAAAACAACCAUUACAAUAAUGAUAAGAAGAGACAAGAAAGCGUAUCUAUUGUACUGUCGGAUUAACCAUUGGGUCUUCUCAUCAUGAUGUUGGACUGGCCGUUAGGCCUCUCGUGAUAGAGUGAUUGUUGUCAUAUAUACCUGUUAAUCUUGUACUCAAAGAAAAGUCGUCAGUCAAAAAGAAAUGUGGAUUUGUACCAUGCUCGAUUCCUCGGUCGUCAUUUUCUACUCCAUGAACCAUUGAAAUUUAUACUCCGUUGUGAUGAAAUUUUUGAAGAAUUCUCAAAAAUUUCUGCCCCAGUUUAAAAUGUAAAGCGCCUUUCGCACGCCAUUGUAAAUAUAUUAUUUACUCGUGAAAUUUUUGAGGAAUUCUCAAAAAUUUCUGCCCCAGUUUAGAAUGAAAGACGCCUUUUGCACGUCAUUGUGAAUUGAUAUAUUUUUUAAUUGUGAAAUUUUUGAGGUUUUCUUGAAACCUCAAAAUUUUUGCCCCAGUUUUUGUCUUUGGAAUCUUAUAUUCCUGCACCACUCAAAGAAAAUAUUAGUCUAAGAGAAAUGGUUGUCCUACAUUUGAAUAUCGUAACCUCAAUUGUAAUAUACCUUUAUAUGCUCAAGAGUUGGAUUAAUUAGCUUGAUGAUUUGGAAGUGUAGGAAUGUGAAAGAGAGUGGGGAAAAGUAUUUUAUUAGAUAAAGAUUAGACCCAGAGUGGGCUGCCUACGUAUCCAAAUGGAUGUCAGGUCGAACGUAGUUCAUAAGUACAAAGAAAUAUAGAGAAAACAAGAACAUGUUGCUAGCCGUAAGGCGGGUAAAAUAGUGACGUGAAACAGGAACGUUAAUUCAUGUGAUGUGUUUUAUGUUUCUUUCAUGAAUGUCCAGGAUCUUGUUGGACAGAGUAAGAGUGGAUUUGAUAAGCCUUAUUUUUCGGAUAGAGUAGGAUCAGAUCUGAUGAGCCCUGUUUCGGGGACCAAAAUCAGCGUGGAUUGCAUUAUAUCGAUAACCUUGUGUUUGAGGUAUGGAAGGUGACGAAUCCUCUUCCUCUUCCAUAGGUGGGUUUCUUCAUUUUAUGUUCUAAUUUCUUUCCAAUCAAAAUUAGACUCUCAAAGUUGUGAUUGACAAGGAAGAACAUUUUCUGAAAGUAUAUUCCAUCUAGUGUCUUGAGGAAAAUUUGGAUCACUUCCUCCUCAAAUACAGAAGGACGUAUUUUGGAAGCCUCUAACCUCCAUCGAGUUGCAUAUUCCUCAAAAGAUUCAUAGGCCACUCUCUUCAUCUCGAGCAAUUCUCGGAUUGUCGGACCAGUAUUGAUGUUAAACUUGUAUUGCCUCAUAAAGUCUUGAGCCAAUUCUUCCCAAUUAUGCCAUUUGUCGAAGUUUUGUUGGUCGAACCAUGUGAGUGUCAUUCCUGACAAACUCUGAAUAAACAAUCUCAUAAGGAGAGGCUCAUUGUGCCUUAUGCCAAUUAGUCUGCCACAAUAGUCCUUCAGAUGUGUGAUUUGAUCUCCAUGCCUAUCGAAUGUGUUGAAUUUGGGGAUUUUGUAUCCUAGAGGUAAAUCAAUCCACAGAAGUAUACAUAGUUUCUCAUACCUCAAGUUGUAGAUACCCCUAGAACGUAGUUCCUCAUUCAUCCUUCUUUCUAAGUAACAAAGCCUUCACCAACGUUCAUCUGAUUUGAUCCUUUUACUUUCAGAAGUGUCAUGUGCAAAAGAGAAUUGUCGAGAAGGGGUGUGGGUAAGGCGAGGAUAAGGAGACAUAGUGUUUUGCCUUGGGUGAUGAAAAGGAGGACUGACAGCUUUUCGAAUACUAAGCAUAUUUGUCAUGUUGCAGAUUGUUACUUGAGUUCGAUAUUCAAAUGCUAGACAACCUUAAAAUUAGAUAUGUAAGGCACACAAAAUUACCUCAUAACACAUAAGUUCGAAAUAUAAUAAAUAAAAAACAAAAGGUAUUCAAGGAUGAAGACUAAGAUUUAAUAAGUGAUAUAAGCGUAAAGAUUUAAGCUCCUGACGCACGAAACAGGACAGUGACAGGAUAUGAUAUCGAUUUUGCAAUUGUAAUUAUAAAGAAGGUAAGAGAGAUAGGAAAUGAAUUAGGUCGACUUUUGUUGAACAUCAGAUUUGUUGAUUACAUCAUAUUGUUGAUUCAUCCAACUCCAUAUAGAAAAAUGAUAAAGCAAGGGAAAAGAAAAUUUUAUUAUGGUGAGAUCGAACCCAUUAAAUGAGUGUCAACGUAUCCACAAGAGAAUCAGGUCGAUCCUAGUUCAAAUUACAUAAGUAAGGAAGACAUAAAAAAAAGGAAAUUGCAGAAUGUAAAAGUUGAAGAAAUUUUAAAUGUUGAGAGUCUGGAGUGAAGAAUCAACAUGAUAUCCUCUAUACCAAUGUAGAACCCUCGCAAGUUGAGCCUAGUAAAUCAAUCGCCAUCACGAUUCAACUUUGUCGUCUAUCAGUGCUUGAAUUUUGUCUUUCAAAGUUCAACACUCUUCUGUGGUAUGUCCUUUCAUCCCUGAAUGAUAAGCACAUAGUUUAGAUUGAUCAAGCCAUGGUGUAUGUGUUCAUGACAAUUGUGGGAAUAGGAGUGAUAUAGCCAGUCGUCCUCAAAUCUCUCAUAAAGUUGAUCUAUGGGCUCAGCCAAGGGAGUGUACUGUCUCGGUGGAUUUUUCUGAAGCUUAUGUCAAGGUCUGGUGGAUCAAGUAGAUCGUUGAUUUGUUGGUGGACUUGGAUAAGAAAAUGGAAUGUAGUUUGAUAUUGGAGCGACAAAUAGAAGUGGGUACCAAACAGUCUACGGAAGAGGUUUUGUGAAGGAUUGUGGAUAAUAGGCUUGGACAUAAUUGGAUGUUGGAAUGAUUUCUGGAGUUGGGUACCAUAUCAGUUGAGGUUGGGGUACGUUCACUUUCGGCUUUGGGGGUUUUGAUGUCUUGUCGAUGAUUGUCUUUCCCUUGUUCUUGGAUUGUGGCUUAACUACAUCUGCCUCGACUGUGAGCUUGGUCCCAAGAGACCCACUUGCUAGUGUCACUUUCGGUGUACCACAUCAAUGUUGGACCCUUCAGUGAACCGACAAAGAGUUUUGUCUUCGAGCUAUCACUUUGUCCUGUAACCGAUAGCUUGUCAAGGUACUCAUUCAAAUAGGAAUGAGGGUUCCCUAACCCAUCAUAUAAUGGAAAGUUCCAACCAUCGAUUUUCUCCUUGUCUUCUUCCUUGAUUUGGAUGACUUGCUCAUUUUGGGUCGUUGAGAUGAUCCUACCUCAUGGUUUGGAACCUGUCCUUCCAUCUCUUUGUCCUUACUUAUAUUCGUCAACUCAAUAAGUUCUUUUAGCAAUGCAAUUGAAAACUGCCUUGGAGACAUAGGCAUAUCAUGAUCAGACGUAGGUGAAGUUGUCAAUGUCGGGGACUCCGUAGUGUGGAUGGGAGGGUUGGAGUCUGCUUCAGGUAGCGGCCCUGAAAACCUAAUGGCAUCUCAACGGAGCCUCGAAUAUCAGUCAUUAUUCCCCUAAUUAGCGCUAUUCUUCUUCUUAACCUUCUGAUGGUCGAAAUGACUCUGUUUUGAUGCAACCCCAAGCUUUCAUGCUCAGCUUCGCUAUUGAUAAAAUUGAUAAGCAUCGCUUGACUGGCCAUUUUUUAUGUUCAAGUAUAGUCAACCUUAGAAUAAGACUAACAAUUAAAAAUGAAGAGUACACAGGAAUCUAGAAUAAAUAUUCUACUCAUUUGAAAAUAAUAAGUUAUGCUCAUUCGGAGUGAAUGGAGGUCGUGAGAGCUUUAUGUAACUUAGAGGUUGUGACAGUUAGAGCACGACAUAAAUAUUGUGGUAGGAUAAUAGUAUAUAAACAUUAGGAUCAUUAGGAAGGGGAUAUCCUAAAAUAAUAAGUUGCACUAAGAGAUUGUGGAUAAGACUAAUCCUUUAUCAAAGCAAAAGUUGAGCCUAGGGAUGAUUAGUAUACUAACGGAGUAACGGAUGAGUCAGGAGAAUGAAUUGAGGGGAAGUUUUUAAAACUAGGCCCUAAGAGUGUAUGGUAGGGACCUAGCAUGACAAGAAUUUUAAGAGCAACGAGCUCUAAAGUGAGGAACACUAAAUGUAAGGAGUGACUAAGGCCAGAACGGAAACAACAAAAUAGGCAAGAUAUCAAUACAUACAUAGAAAUGCAACACAUAGCAAAUAAUUGUGAGUCCCUAUGAGGUCGUAAACCUCUUUGGACUUUGAAUGAGACUAACAUUCAACGCAUCAAGGAUGCCAAAGCAUCCUACAUUGAAUGGGACGCAUAUUUCUUAAAAAGAAAUAUAUAGCCAAGACCUAAAGAACAAGAGUGGGUUUAUGAUAUGGUUCCCUCGAGUGGACAACUCGAGAGUGGGAGAGCUUAUGAAUGUCAAUGCACCGCUGAUCGAUCGAUCCACAAGGCAUUUCCCAAAGGGUGUUUUGGGAAAGAACGUCUGUGCUACCACGCAACCAUUCGUAAAAAGAAAAUAAAGGAAGUUUCAAGUGGAGGAAAGUAUAAGCGGGAUGCCAAUUAUAUAAAGCGAUAACAUGUAGCACAUAACACAAGUAGCAUGCUAAGAAAUACACACGUAAGCAAACAUGAUAACACAUAAGCAAUAAAAAAGGAAAAAGGGAUAGACAUGGAGAAAUGUAAAUAACACAUAAAGGGAAAGGAGAAGAGACUCACGUAUAACAAUAAAUCGUGAUAUAAACAACAAGAGAAAGUAAUUACGAAAAAUAAAACAAAUAAAGUGAAGGAAUCCUACAUAAAACACAAACUCGUAAUGGUUAGAGCCUAUGAUCCCCAACAGAGUCGUCAAUCUAUCGCGCCUCAUUUUCCUCGUAGAAAGAGGGAUUCGACGUGAUCACUCUUUUUUGGGAUUAUUUUGAUGGUAGGUGUGAAGAGUCACCCACCUGAAGAAUUAAGGUGUGUUAAGGCACCGAUCUAGGCCAACUACAAACCUGUUUUGUUGUUUAGUCUUAGUUCACCAGAUAUUCGGAUAAGGGUUCAAAUUACCUCAAAAGGAAGAAAGGGUCCAGAAAGAUGGUUCCCGGCCGAAUUCAUAUUUAACGUGGAAAUUCUAUGUCAUCAAAUAAGAUCUCUUAUUUUAUUAUUAAUUUAAUGUUUAACUAAGUCAUAAAAUAAUUAAUAAACAAAACAUGUUAUUUUUUAAUUUCUAAUUAUUAAUUAUCUAAGUGAUAAAAAGCAUAUAAUAAGAUAAGCGAGGAGAAAGAAAUGACAUAAUUUGUAACAAAAGGGGACUACUUAUGUAAUAAACUUAACUACCCAAUUUAAAUAAGCAAGUGAAGUAAAUAAAAGAAUUCGCCAAAUUAAAUAAAGAAAUAUUUUGUUCUCAUUUGGAUCAGAAUCUCAACUUGUUUAAUCAUCAUUCAACCUAUGGCCAAAUUCUUAGACAAGUCAUAUGUCUUACCUUUAAUGUCGGUUGGAGAUCAUCACUUCCGAAUGACUACUCCCCCCCACCCCCACCCAGGCUAGAUGUCAAAUCUAAAGGCGUUCUAGUACAAGAAUAAAACUAACGCUUUUAGUAAUUCCUAUCGUCUCGUCCAUCAUUCAAGAGGCAUUGGACUUUGCUAUUUUAGAUUUGUGGUCUAGACAAAAUAAAACUAUGUUGCUUAGGACUCGAAACGCGUAACACAUUGGAUAUCAUGUAGCAAGUAAUGUCUCACAUUAGCCCCUUGGUUAUUAAAGAGUUGAUUAAUGUGAUUAACAUGCAAAGACAAAUAAUUACUUAUUUUUGUGUCAUUAAGUAAUUGAGAAUGAAAAAAAUUACGUUUUAACAUAUUGGCAAUUAUUCUAAUUUCAUAUUAAUAUGCAGGAAAAUAAUAUAAAAAGGAAAAUAUUUAACAUGCUGAAAUUAAUGAUUAUACGCAGAGAUGCAGUUCAGACAUGCUGAAAUUUAAUUAUUUUAUGCAGAAACGCAAUUUUAACAUGCUGAAAUUUAAUAUUAACAUACUGAAAAAUACAUUAACGCAAUUAUUUUUGAUAUGCUGAAAAAUAUGUUAAUGCGCAAGAAUUUUCUUCUAUUAAUCAUGCUACAAUUUUAACCUGGACAAGCUUAAUUCUAAUGUCAACAUGCUACAAGCAUAUUAAUAUGCAGGAAUUUAAUUGUUGACAUGCUAAAAAAUACUAACAUGCUGAAAGUAAUUUUAAUAUGUUGAAACAUAUAAUGACAUGCUUAAUGUCAAUUUAAUUUGUUGACAUGCUAAAGAUAUAUUAAUAUGUUCAAUGCAAAUUAAUAUGCUACCAUACUAAAAAUAUAUUAAUAUGCUCAAUGUCAAUUAAUAUGGUAUGUCAAUUUUAGUUAGAUCAAGAAUAAUUAAAAAAGUCGUAGAUCAAGUGUCGAAACGAUUCAUAUGUUAAUAAAUUCUAAUUUUGUGUGCCUAAAUAAUCCACGUAGCAUGUAACGCACAUAAACCUAAAUUGUGCCUACCUAUAUUAUUCAUAGAGCACAUAAAUCUCCACCCUAAAGCAAUCCCCAAUAUUUAUUAUUACAUCAAUAGUAACAUAUGUACAAUAAUAUUACAAACCAAAUAACAAGAACAUAAAACUAAAUAGAACUAAUACAAUUUAUUGUAAACACCCCAGCAACUCUUGCGAUCUCCAAAACACCACCAAUACCUGUUAGAUACAAAUCGAAAGAGCACGACAAGCGCAAAACAAACAACUCAUGAUCCUAAACCACACAUCGUUUCAAAUAGAGGAAUCCAAGAAGAUACGUGCAUAUUAAGCAAGUAUUGUUUCAAAUUAGUUCCUAUAGAUAUGUUUUCUAUAGAAGUAAAAAAAUUGCAUUGAAUGGAAACAUACUGGUGAUGAUAAAUAAUAUAAUAAGAACUAAGAAGAAGACCAAAUAGCUCAAAAUCCAGAAAGCAAAUUACCACCGAGAGGUCAGAAUUAAAGCUCCAAAAGUAAGUAUAGAAGCGAUAAAAUAAGACUGUUUCUUUUCUGUUUCUUUUCCAAAAGUUUUGUAGAAGAGAGUAUAUGUAGUCUGUUGUAACUUCUCAAAAUAAGAGAAUAGGGGUUGUUUAUAUAGUGGAGGGAUAAAUCCACCAAGCCAUAAAAAGGAAAAGAGAAUAUGUUAUGUAAUCAAUCAAUCACAAUUAUAUCAUUCAAAUAAUUUAAAAUCAGUCUAAACUAAUAAAAGGAAAAGAGGUAUCAAUCAACAGAAUAUGUGAUGUAAUCAAUCAACCAAAUUGCCUUAAAUAUGAAGAUCACACAUACUAAUAUAAUCACUCAAAACAAAUAGAAGGAAAGAAAAAUAUCAAUUAAUCUAAAUUUUCUUUUUGAACAUGCAGACUAAUUAAGGAUAAUAAUUAAGGCAAAUCAUUAUGUCACUUAAGGCUAAAAUCGUGUAAAAUUCGAUAAAAGAAAUUAAAAAAGAAAAAGCAUAUUUAGGAUAAUCAAUCAGUCAAAUUUCCUUCUAUAAGCAUGAAAAUCAAUCAAAUUCUUGCCCUGAAGUAUUAAAUUCAAAUCAAUAAUAGUGAAGGAAAGAAAACACUGCCAAGAAAUCAGUACCAAAGCUUGUCACACACUAAACAAAAAGGGAAGAAAUUUCCCCAAUGCAGAAACUAACAAGAUCAGCUAAAUACCAAGUAAACCAAUUAGAACGGGAACAAAUAUAUGAGUAAAUCGACUUCGAUCUUUACCAAUAUGAUUAAACGAUUAUGAGCAAAUAAUCAACCGAACUCGUCAUGUCACAAUGCCAGUUAACACCAAUCACAUAAUAAAUUUCUUCAAAUAAAUAUUUUCAAGUAGAGAUCAUAUUCACAGAAUAACAAACCAUGAACACGAUAUUCGACCUAAUACAUACUAGUAUCAUUACAAUAGAUUCAACAAAAUUCAAUCUAGCAAUCAAGAACACAACAAUUAAAUCAUUCAGUGCCUGAUUCAGAAAAUAGCGUCAGCUAAGCAUGAAAUCGAAAUAUUUGAAACAAAGAAAAUCAGAUCGAAGCCACCCCACGUAUUUCACAUCCACAAACAAAAUAAAGUAAAUCCAAGAACAAUCUUACCGGAGACAAAUUCAUCAUGCAAAAAAUGUUGGAAUUGAAUCCUUGACACUCUCGCGGGUUCGGUCAGAGCAAGCGAAGGCGCUAGUGAGGUUGCCGAUGGUGGCUACGAUGGAGAGGACGAACAGAGGGAGAUGGCAGCGGUUCAAGUGGCGACUGGCUUUACUAUUAUGCCGGCAGAGCCGGCUGGUCUGCUGGUGGUUGAUUCGCCGUAGCUGGCGGAGGCUGGUUCCGUUGGAGUUUUGGUGGUGAGCGUUGCGGCGAUUGGUGGCGGCGCUGGUCGCUGGUUUGGCUGAGGAUAAUGGGUCGUCGGUCGGUGGUGGUUUCUAGAACGAUGCUUCACCGGUCAUUACCUCCGGUGAAUCGACAACGACGGGAGGCAACGCCGAUUUCACGGCUGGACUGAUCAUUUUGGUGGAGCGGCGGCAUCGAUGAAGAGAAGAAAGUGGGGCGGCGGUGGCUGGUUUAUCGGAGGCGGGAGAGGGAGUCCGGCGAAUAGAGGGAUGGUUCGUCGUGAUGGACGCCGACGAAGGUGGUGGCGGCGGCGGUUUGAGUGUUUCUUUUUUUUAGAGAGAAAAUGGAGAGAGAUGAGAGGUAGAGAGAGAGGGAGUUAGGCGGCUUAGAAGAUGAAGAGAGAUGAGAGGUAGAGAGAGAAGGAGUUAGGCGGCUU